CGGCGGACGGGUGAGUAACGCGUGGGUAACCUGCCCUGUACACACGGAUAACAUACCGAAAGGUAUGCUAAUACGAGAUAAUAUACUUUUAUCGCAUGGUAGAAGUAUCAAAGCUCCGGCGGUACAGGAUGGACCCGCGUCUGAUUAGCUAGUUGGUGAGGUAAUGGCUCACCAAGGCGACGAUCAGUAGCCGACCUGAGAGGGUGAUCGGCCACAUUGGAACUGAGACACGGUCCAAAUUCCUACGGGAGGCAGCAGUGGGGAAUAUUGCACAAUGGGCGAAAGCCUGAUGCAGCAACGCCGCGUGAGCGAUGAAGGCCUUCGGGUCGUAAAGCUCUGUCCUCAAGGAAGAUAAUGACGGUACUUGAGGAGGAAGCCCCGGCUAACUACGUGCCAGCAGCCGCGGUAAUACGUAGGGGGCUAGCGUUAUCCGGAAUUACUGGGCGUAAAGGGUGCGUAGGUGGUUUCUUAAGUCAGAGGUGAAAGGCUACGGCUCAACCGUAGUAAGCCUUUGAAAC
rnacentral:rRNA from 1 species